rnacentral:rRNA from 1 species
GGCUCAGAACGAACGCGGGCGGCGUACUUAACACAUGCAAGUCGGACGAGAAAGGGGACUUCGGUCUCUGAGUACAGUGGCGCACGGGUGCGUAACACGUAAGUAAUCUGCCCCGAACCCUGGGAUAACCCUCCGAAAGGAGGGCUAAGACUGGAUAGGGUCCCCGAGGUGUAGGCUGCGGGGGGAAAACGGGCCUCUGAUGCAUGCUCGUGGUCCGGGAUGAGCUUGCGGCCCAUUAGCUAGUUGGUAGGGUAAAGGCUUACCAAGGCGACGAUGGGUAGCUGGUCUGAGAGGAUGAUCAGCCACACUGGCACUGAGAUACGGGCCAGACUCCUACGGGAGGCAGCAGUGGGGAAUUUUGCGCAAUGGGCGAAAGCCUGACGCAGUAACGCCGCGUGGAGGAUGAAGGCCUUCGGGUUGUAAACUCCUGUCAGGGGGAACGACGGGGACCGGGGGACAACUGCGGUCCGCCAGACGGUACCUCCAAAGGGAGCCCCGGCUAAUUCCGUGCCAGCAGCCGCGGUAAUACGGAAGGGGCAAGCGUUGUUCGGAAUCAUUGGGCGUAAAGGGCGCGUAGGUGGUCGUGUAUGUCUCUCGUGAAAGCCCACGGCUCAACCGUGGUGCGUCGGGAGAAACUGCAGGACUUGAGGCUGGGAGGGGCUGGUGGAAUUCCCUGUGUAGCGGUGAAAUGCGUAGAGAUGGGGGAGAACACUCGUGGCGAAGGCGGCCAGCUAGACCAGUUCUGACACUGAGGCGCGACAGCGUGGGGAGCAAACAGGAUUAGAUACCCUGGUAGUCCACGCUGUAAACGAUGGGCACUAGGUGCCGGCGGUCUUGAUCCCGUCGGUGCCGGCGCUAACGCAGUAAGUGCCCCGCCUGGGGAGUACGGUCGCAAGGCUGAAACUCAAAG